rnacentral:rRNA from 1 species
UUGCUCCUCUGACGUUAGCGGCGGACGGGUGAGUAACACGUGGAUAACCUACCUAUAAGACUGGGAUAACUUCGGGAAACCGGAGCUAAUACCGGAUAAUACAUUGAACCGCAUGGUUCAAUAGUGAAAGACAGUUUUGCUGUCACUUAUAGAUGGAUCCGCGCCGCAUUAGCUAGUUGGUAAGGUAACGGCUUACCAAGGCAACGAUGCGUAGCCGACCUGAGAGGGUGAUCGGCCACACUGGAACUGAGACACGGUCCAGACUCCUACGGGAGGCAGCAGUAGGGAAUCUUCCGCAAUGGGCGAAAGCCUGACGGAGCAACGCCGCGUGAGUGAUGAAGGUCUUCGGAUCGUAAAACUCUGUUAUUAGGGAAGAACAAAUGUGUAAGUAACUAUGCACGUCUUGACGGUACCUAAUCAGAAAGCCACGGCUAACUACGUGCCAGCAGCCGCGGUAAUACGUAGGUGGCAAGCGUUAUCCGGAAUUAUUGGGCGUAAAGCGCGCGUAGGCGG